GGACCUCUUCUUUAUCAACUACAAAAGGAAAUAAUGAGUCAGUUCAAGGAAAUCUGGACAUUGCAAGUUAUUAUACCAAGAUGAAAAGACUAUGGGAUGAGCUGGACAACCUAGAUAUUUUGUCAACCUUGCACCUGUGAUUGUUCAUGUGGAGGUAAGGUGAGAUCUCACAAAUCUGAACAAGAUACAAUGUUUAUUCAGUUCUUAAUGGGACUGAAGGAAGCUUAUGCAGGACCUAGAAGCAACUUUUUGUUGCUUUCCCCUCUUCCCUCAGUGAACUAUGCAUAUUCUCUCCUCAUCAGGGACGAGAAACAAAGGGAAGUUCAUGUCUCACAGCAUGCUGCACCUACAGCUUUUUAUGCUUCUAAACAAAGAACAAAUACUUAUUCAGGAUCUUCUACUUCCACUGCUGGGAUUUCUAGACAGCCCUAUAAUUCAUAAAAAUCUGUAGAAAGGAAACUUGUAACUGAAGGAAAGAAAAUUGCUAAUGGCCUAUUCUGUUCUUAUUGUAAGAAAACAAACCACACUAUUGAAAAUUGUUACAGGCUGAUAGGUUUUCCUUCUGAUUUGAAAUUCACAAAGCCAAAGAAGAUGGGACCCCAAUCAAAAGCAAUUCUGCUUGUUCCAUUGAUGAAUCAAGUAGCAAUUCAGGAGACAAGCCAAUGACCCAGGAUCAAUACCACCACCUAUAUCAGUUUUUGCAACAUGUGAAGCUAGGAGCAGAACCACAAACUAAUACAGAAGAAUCUGCAACAGUUAAUUGUAUUGGGCCUUCAAUGAAGAGGCCACUGGUUCUUGGUAAAGUCACUACGGGGCUCUAUCUUCUACAUUCAACUAGCACCAGACAAGUCAAGCCUUCAGAUAUUCUAUCUCUUUCUAGCAAAGUUUUUAAUUCUGCUUGUAAUCAAGUGUUAUAGCACAAGUACCAAGUUCUUCUUUAUUUUUAGAAUCUGUUCCUUGUGAUGUUUGUGCUAGAGCAAAGCAAACUAAGUUACCUUUGGGGUCUAGUACUAUUGUUUCUAAACAUCUUUUUGAUCUCAUACAUGUUGAUACAUGGGGACCUUACAAGACCCCAACACAUGAUGGUUUUAAGUACUUUCUAACC